CCUACGGGAGGCAGCAGUGAGGAAUAUUGGUCAAUGGCCGUAAGGCUGAACCAGCCAAGUCGCGUGAAGGAAGAAGGAUCUAUGGUUUGUAAACUUCUUUUAUAGGGGAAUAAAGGUAUCCACGUGUGGAUAUUUGCAUGUACCCUAUGAAUAAGCAUCGGCUAACUCCGUGCCAGCAGCCGCGGUAAUACGGGGUAUGCGAGCGUUUCCGGAGUUUUUGGGUUUAAAGGGUGCGUAGGUUGUUUUUUAAGUCAGCGGUGAAAGUUUGUGGCUAAACCAGAAAAUUGCCGUUGAAACUGGAAGACUUGAGUGUGUUUGGGGUAGGCGGAAUGCGUGGUGUAGCGGUGAAAUGCAUAGAGAUCACGAAGAACUCCGAUUGCGAAGGCAGUUCACUAGACUGCAACUGACACUGAGGCUCGAAAGUGUGGGUAUCAAACAGGAUUAGAUACCCUUGUAGUC
rnacentral:rRNA from 1 species